CCAGUCAACAUUCCAGCAUGGAAUCAGGGGGCGGGGGCUGGGGGGAGGCACACAAUAUCUCAUCCUAGGCUGAGGAGUUAGUAGAACUUGAGGGCCACCUGUGAAGGAGAAGUCAGUUCUCCACAGGGAUGUGGCCCCCCUGGAUGAGUUGGAUACAAUAAGAUGAGGUGGUUCUUGUGGUUGCUAUCUCCCUGCUGGGGCUUCCACAGACCACAUCGAUUCUUUUGUGAUGGAACCCAGCCAGCACCUGGCAACUAGUGAUGACUACGAGAUGGGAGAUUUGAUUGGCUAGAAAAGUUCUCCUGGCCUUCCGUGUUAAAGGUGGCCAGAGAUAGUCAUAAUGAAAUAACAGAUAAAUUAAAUAAGGCUAUAAGGCGAGCUAUGAGAUUUUGGAUCUAUAUGUAUAUCAACAUCAGCGAAGGAUCUGGAGAAGUGGCUCAGGGGUUGAGGACACUUGCUGCUCUCAUAGAGGACUGGAGUUUGGUUUCCAGCAACCACAUCCGGUGGCUCCUACCAUCUGCAACUCCAGAUCCAGGGGAUCCGAUGCCCUCUUCUGGUCUCUGAAGAGCAGAACCCUGGGACUGCCCUCCCGGGAGCUGGAUGGAGGCACACUGUUCUCAGAUGCUCUGAAGGACAUUUAAUUCUUCAGUCAGAUCCUAAAGGCAAAGACAUCCACAGCAAGCUGAGGGAAAUGAUGGCUUAUGGUUCUACCGAGGACAACUUACAUCUCAUUGUUCACGGACUGAGGAAGUGAGACACAGAUUCAUCCAUGGCGCCAGCAAGCUUACCAAGAGCUAACAGUAGAAAGUGACUUGUUACCUGGAUGGACAUGUGCCAAGUGGGAAGAUAAUUGAAUGAUGGCAGAGCGACAGAGGCUGUGUGGCUUAAGUACUCUCCUUACCAGUAACGAACAGUCACAUAGGACGUUUCAGUGAUUUGUAGAAUUAUAGGUCUCCCCACCACCCUGUAGCACGUGGUUGGGGACAUGUGGCUGGCUGUAGAAUUUUGUGUUGGCUAAUUAGCCACUCUCUGAAGCAGCCUCCUGAUAUUUGUUUCAUAGGCUUCUGUGUACCUAGGGCCACUUUCCUUGGUGAAUGUUUUACUUUGUGUGGGGUUAGAAUAGAAGCAUAUGGUGGUGAAAACCCAUCUCCUAAAAGAGUCAAGUUAGCAAACAUAGGGCAAGGGAGAUGUCACUUCUCUGGAGUUUGUAGUCAAUCCUGAAAACAGCCCUAUUAAAGUCAUCAUUAAACAGAUGCCUGGGCCUUUGCUAUUGCUUACGUGUCCGGAAAAAUCUGCAGAGCUCCUAAUCUUCAAAGAUUUGUAGGAGGUGGGGAAGUUUGUGGCAUCUGGCACCAGAUAUGACAGCAAUCUUACUCAACUACGUGAGUUUCAGUUACUGAUCUGACUUCAUAAGAGACACAUCUGGGGGUUGGGGAUUUAGCUCAGAGGUAGAGCGCCUGCCUAGCAAGCGCAAGUCCCUGGGUUCGGUCCCCAACUCCAAAAGAAAAAAAAAAUAAAAGAGACACAUCUGGGCGUCCUGCUUUGAGAA